GAUGAAGAACGCAGCGAAAUGCGAUAAGUAAUGUGAAUUGCAGAAUUCAGUGAAUCAUCGAGUCUUUGAACGCACAUUGCGCCCCCUGGUAUUCCGGGGGGCAUGCCUGUCCGAGCGUCAUUUCUGCCCUCAAGCACGGCUUGUGUGUUGGGCCGUCGUCCCCCUCCUAGGGGACGGGCCCGAAAGGCAGCGGCGGCACCGCGUCCGGUCCUCGAGCGUAUGGGGCUUCGUCACCCGCUCCGUAGGCCCGGCCGGCGCUUGCCGACGACCAUCAAUCUCUUUCUCCAGGUUGACCUCGGAUCAGGUAGGGAUACCCGCUGAACUUAAGCAUAUCAAUAAGCGGAGGA
rnacentral:misc_RNA from 1 species